GACGAACGCUGGCGGCGUGCCUAAUACAUGCAAGUAGAACGCUGAAGGAGGAGCUUGCUUCUCUGGAUGAUUUGCGAAAGGGUGAGUAACGCGUAGGUAACCUGCCUGGUAGCGGGGGAUAACUAUUGGAAACGAUAGCUAAUACCGCAUAAUAGCAUUUAUUGCAUGAUAACUGUUUGAAAGGUGCAAUUGCACCACUACCAGAUGGACCUGCGUUGUAUUAGCUAGUUGGUGGGGUAACGGCUCACCAAGGCGACGAUACAUAGCCGACCUGAGAGGGUGAUCGGCCACCAUGGGACUGAGAAACGGCCCAGAACCCUAAGGGAGGCAGCAGUAGGGAAUCUUCGGCAAUGGACGGAAGUCUGAACGAGCAACGCCGCGUGAGUGAAGAAGGUUCUCGGAUCGUAAAGCUCUGUUGUAAGAGAAGAAAGAGUGUGAGAGGGGAAAGUUCACACUGUGACGGUAUCUUACCAGAAAGGGACGGCUAACUACGUG
rnacentral:rRNA from 1 species